rnacentral:rRNA from 1 species
AGCUUGCUGGGUGGAUCAGUGGCGAACGGGUGAGUAACACGUGAGUAACCUGCCCCUGACUCUGGGAUAAGCCUUGGAAACGAGGUCUAAUACCGGAUACGUGACGCUCAGGCAUCUGAUGCGUCUGGAAAGAUUUAUCGGUCAGGGAUGGACUCGCGGCCUAUCAGCUUGUUGGUGGGGUAACGGCCCACCAAGGCGACGACGGGUAGCCGGCCUGAGAGGGCGACCGGCCACACUGGGACUGAGACACGGCCCAGACUCCUACGGGAGGCAGCAGUGGGGAAUAUUGCACAAUGGGCGCAAGCCUGAUGCAGCGACGCCGCGUGAGGGAUGAAGGCCUUCGGGUUGUAAACCUCUUUCAGCAGGGAAGAAGCGCAAGUGACGGUACCUGCAGAAGAAGCGCCGGCUAACUACGUGCCAGCAGCCGCGGUAAUACGUAGGGCGCAAGCGUUGUCCGGAAUUAUUGGGCGUAAAGAGCUCGUAGGCGGUCUGUCGCGUCUGCUGUGAAAACUCGAGGCUCAACCUCGGGCUUGCAGUGGGUACGGGCAGACUAGAGUGCGGUAGGGGAGACUGGAAUUCCUGGUGUAGCGGUGGAAUGCGCAGAUAUCAGGAGGAACACCGAUGGCGAAGGCAGGUCUCUGGGCCGCAACUGACGCUGAGGAGCGAAAGCAUG